UACGGAGGGUGCGAGCGUUAUCCGGAAUUACUGGGCGUACAGGGAGCGUAGGCGGUUGGAUAAGCCCUCCGUGAAAUCUCCAGGCUUAACCUGGAAAGUGCAGAGGGGACUGUUCAGCUAGAGGAUGGGAGAGGAGCGCGGAAUUCCUGGUGUAGCGGUGAAAUGCGCAGAUAUCAGGAGGAACACCGGUGGCGAAGGCGGUUCUCUGGGCAUGUCCUGACGCUGAGGAGCGAAAGUGUGGGGAGCGAACAGG
rnacentral:rRNA from 1 species